CCACCACCACCACCACCUUCCUCGCCUCCUCUUCCAUAGUAGUCGCCCCCGACCGUCGUCUUCCCUAUCUCGGUUGACUCUGUUUCACACAGUGACGCAAUCUGUCAAGUUUUUGGCUAUGAGCCUCAUUCGGUGUUGCCAAUUGGUGUUGUUUCUCUUGCUGAUCUUACAGUUUUUCUGCUUUUCUCGAAAAUUAACGUCUUUGCUAGUACUGUUAUAUUCUACACUCCUUUUUUGAGGCAUAUAUGGACAUGGUUGGGUCUAUCUCCAGCAACUAGAAAGAAUUUUAAAUCUCGUCUGGCUUCAGGUUACAGUUGUAUCAUAGUGCCUGGUGGAGUACAAGAGACGUUCCAUAUGGAGCAUGGCUCUGAGCUUGUUUUGAGUACUGGAAGCGGUGUUAAUGGUUUCACUCUAGAUCCAUCUCUUGGAGUGUAUAUUUUAACUCAUCCAGACAUCAAGGGAUCGAGUCGAUUGGAAGAAAGUCAACACGGCCUUAAUUAAGGUUUGUAAUGCAUGAUCUAAAGGGAGCUAAGUGGCCGG